CUAGCUCAUCCUGGCUCAAAAAGCACCUCCAAUGAGCACCUUGUGACCCCCGCCCCUGCCCACCAGAGAACAACCCCCUUUGUAAUUUUCCAUUACCUUCCCAAAUCCUAUAAAAUGGCCCCACCCCUAUCGCCCUUCCCUGACUCUCUUUUCGGACUCAGCCUGCCUGCACCCAGGUGAAACAAACAGCCAUGUUGCUCACACAAAGCCUGUUUGGUGGUCUCUUCACACGGACGCGCAUGAAAUUUGGUGCCGUGACUCGGAUCGGGGGACCUCCCUUGGGAGAUCAAUCCCCUGUCCUCCUGUUCUUUGCUCUGUGAGAAAGAUCCACCUAUGACCUCAGGUCGUCAGACCGACCAGCCCAAGAAACAUCUCACCAAUUUCAAAUACGGAGCUUGCUACACAUGCCGGAAAUCUGGCCACUGGGCCAAGGAAUGCCCACAGCCCGGGAUUCCUCCUAAGCCGCGUCCCAUCUGUGUGGGACCCCACUGAAAAUCAGAUUGUUCAACUCACCUGGCUGCCACUCCCAGAGCCCGUGGAACUCUCGCCCAAGGCUGUCUGACUGACUCCUUCCCAGAUCUUCUUGGCUUAGCUGCUGAAGACUGACACUGCCGGAUCGCCUUGGAAGCCCCCUAGACCAUCACGGACACCGAGCUUCGGGUAACUCUCACAGUGGAAGGUGAGAAUAUGUGGUAUUUGGGUUUCUGUUCCUUCAUCAAGUUGCUUAAGAUGAUGACCUUCAGCUCCAUCCAUGUUGCUGUAAAGGACAUGAAUUCAUUCGUUUUUACAGAGUGGGUGUACCAGUUCACAAUCCCAAUAGAAAUGAUGUAAGAAGCAGGACACAACUCCAGAGGUGGGGCUCAGACAUGGAACCAGAUUGAGGACAAGUUAACACAGGGCCUGGUCUGGAGCGAUGGUUCAUGCCUAUAAUUCCAGGACGUGCAGAGGUUGAGAUGGGAGGAUUGCUUGAUGCCAGGAAUUCACAACCAACCUGAGCAACAUAACAAGAUCCCAUCUCUACAAAAAAUAAAUUAGCUAGGCAUGGUGAUGUGUGCUUGGCCUAUAGUCUCAGCUACUCAAGAUGCUGAGACAGGAGGAUAGUUUGAGCCUAGGAGGUUAAGCCUGCAGUCAGCUUUAAUUGAGCCACUGCAGUCCAUCCUGGGCAACACAGUAAGACUGUCUCAAAAUGUAUAUAUAUAUAUGUAUUUAAUUUGUGCUAUUAUAUCUGAUUCUUAGAAGAGUCUGAUAAUUUGCACAUGUGAUUUUUUUGCAUUCUCACUGAUUUUAUUAUGCAUAUAUCUCCUAGAAACCAAUGCUGCAGAAUUGUGAUGCAAAUCUGAUUCAUAUUCCUUUAUAAGUGAACUGAUAUUUUUCUUUCAUGGUUAUCAGAAUUUUGUUUUUUAUUCAUUUUUUUCUGUAUCAUCAAUGUGGAAUUGGGUAUGGGCUUUGUUUUCCUCCUGUUGAUCCUAUUUGAUAUGAGACUGACUUUUUAAAACAGAAGAUUAUAUCUCAGCUCAAAGAAAUAUAUCCUCAUUAUUAUUUUGAUAUAUUCUUUCAAUCAAAUUGGAAAAAAAUAUUUAUCCUUAUAUAGCCACAUAGCUACAUCUCUCAAGUCUCUCAAUACCAUAAAUUUUACUCAAAUAUCGCUCUUGUCACCUUUUAAAUGAAACCUAUCACACUACCCUAUUUAAAAUGCAAACUGCCUUCUAUUUUAUCAUAUGCAAAUCCCUUUCAUCUGUUCGGCUUCCUUUCCACUCUCUAACAUUCUGUGUAGUUUAGUGAUUUAGUGUAUCUAUUGUUAAUUGUCUGGGUACUCACAUUACAAUAUAAACUUUCUGAGAGUAAGAGUCAUUGUCUCUUUGGAUCCAUUAGAAUAAUGUCUGGCAUCUAGAAGGGUCAUCAAGGAUAUUUAGUGGAUAAAUGAAAAGCCAAUGAGACCUUUGCAUCUCUCGUCUACGAGUCUUAAAUGUCCUCUCACAUUUUCUUUGUGUUCCGUUCCAUUAUUAUCUCAUGAUUUGGGCAUUUAGUUCAUUACAUUAGUAAUCAGGCAUAGCUCGUCUGCUAGCACUUUGCUGCUACUGUUUGUUUCACUGUUGAAAAUUCAAAAUUACAUUGUUAGACUCCUAGCCUACUGAAUGUUUAUUUUUUAUGGCAACCUUUUUUUUAUUGAGUUACAGAUGUGGUAUGCUUUCAAUUCUCUUGUUCAUAUUAAUUACAUUUUAUGUUACAUGUUCUUCUGUUUUCCAUAUCACCUCUUUAUUUCUCUGGAUUAUUUUUGUUCUGAUUGUUGUGGGGUUUUUUUUGCCAUAUUCAAAGGUCUUUAAAAAUUGUUAAUCUGAGUUAUCUGUUUAUAUUCAGUGAUGAGAAGUAACUGAGCAAGGUUAGCAACUAUGGAAAAUUUUUGUAGCCCUCCUAAGCAUUCAGUUUUCAUAAUCAAUGAAUAUGAUUCUGUUGACAGCAUGCAAAGGGGAGAAAGUAUAUUCAGGUUGGGUGUGUACAUUGCUACUCUCUAUUUGAAAGUGUCCUUCCUUCAUCACAGGGUGAUUAUAAGACUCCUUGAAUACUAGGCCAUUCUCUGGUGACAAAAUUCUCUUUGUUUACUAUGGAGAUAAAAACAGUCAAUUGCUCAAAGUUUAGCAAGUAUUUAAUAGAUGCUUAAUAAAUAUCUGAUGAAUUAAUUAUGAAUGCACUAAUAUCCCCCAAGUAUGAGUUGCCUAGAACAGCUCUUCCUUUAUUUUCUUUUUCUGGAUAACCCUGAGUAAUACAGAGAUAACUAUUGAUACAACACCUUCAUGACCCUAAGGUACUAUCAUAGAGUUCUGUGAAACUGAUGGUUUGACUGAUUCACAAAAGAAGCCUCUUAUUAGUUAUUAUGAUUUGAACCACUAUCUCCCCAGGGCAAAAUCAGUUCAUGUGUGUCUGACUUUUCACUAUCUGAAAAGGUUUUUUUUUUUUUUUUUAAUGAGCAUAUAGAAAAUCAUAAAAGAAAACCAACUGACAUAAACCAAAACACAGUUUUUGUUUUGUUUAGGGAUCUAGUUAGCCAUUUAAUAAAUUAUAUUAAGGAAAAUGAAACUUAUUGAAAUAUUAAAUUUUCAAAUGAAUGGUUUAAUCAUUAAAGUUAUUAGGCAAAAUCAAUGGGAAACUGUUUUAGGCAAAGAAAGUUUGAUUCCAUUUUGGUUUUGUUGUUGUUGUCAUCAUGGAAAAUUCUACCCUGUUAUCAUUUUAAAAUUCCUCAUCUCUCUUUGCUUCAAUGCUAUAAUUGCUAUUUCAUUGACUGGUUACAGCCUCAGAAGCUGGGUUGUUACCAUCUGCUUUAGCUUUCUAGAACUGCUGUAACAAAGCACUACAAACUGAGCGGCUUAAACAACAGAAAUUUAUAGUUUUGCAGUCAUAGAGACUAGAUGUCCAGACCUGAGGUUUUGACUGUGUUGGUUCCUUCCGAGGCUAUGAGGAAACAAUCUGUUCCAAGCCUCUCUUCUUGGCUUAUAAAGGGCCGUCUUCUCCCUCCUUUGUGUCAUUUUUCUUUAUGCAUGUCUGUUUCUGUGUCAAAAUUUUUCCUUUGUAUAAGGACGCCAAUCCUUAUGUAAGGAUGUUGGAUUAGGGCUCACCCUAAUCCCCUCAACUUGACUUAACAAAUUAUGUCUUCAAAGAUGUUAAGAUAGAGAGAUAGAGAUUGAGAGCCAUCUAUACUUACAUAGAGAUCUCUCUCUAUAUAGAUUUAUAUAGAUCUAUAUCUCUCUCUAUAUAGGUUUAUAUAGAGAGAGAGCUCUAUAGAUAUAGAGAUAGAGAUCUAUCUAUCUGUCUAUCUAUCUAUCUAUCUGUCAUCUCUCUAUCUAAUUGAAAGAUGAUAGAGAUCUCCUGUUGGUUCUGCUUCUCUGGAAAACCAUAAUACACUCAGUCACAAAAAAAAUAAAUAAAUAAACAAUUUUUUGUGCUCCAUAGACAACUUUUGAGCAAAGCAUAUCUGCUCUGCCUCCAUGUAGUCAUAGCAAAGGGCGAAUUUCUACUCUGAGGGACAGUGGAUGUCUUUUCCCUCUCUUUGAAGGAAGGGGUGGCUUAUCUGAUUCAUGAGUGUGGCAGUAGAGCCUUCAUUUCCCUUUGAGUGUCUUACCAGAGCAAGGAUUUGCUGAGUGAACUGCUGGCUGCCUGGUGGUCAGCUCAUGCACUUGGCCACAGUCAAGUGCAAGAAACCACCAGGGAGGGACAUUCUGACUUUUCUUGAUGUGACUCACAGUCACCAAAGGAGGAAAAGCCACUUACCUCAUCAAUGAGUUCAAGAGAAAGGACAAAAACAAGCUUAGCUCAGUCUUUCUGACAUUCUUUUAAAUGUUUCUGCCUGCAGAGAAUGUAUUUUUGUUUUGUUUUUUAUCUGUUCUCAGCCAUAUGGUGGUAUGGUUAAGGGCAGUCUUUGCCCCGCAGAGGUGGCCAACAUAUCUCUUGCUUUUUUUCUUAAUGACUAUCUAGGUAUGUUAAUUCUGGGUGAAGUGACGGAAAACCCAUUGCGAUUGCCUACUGAAGCUGUAUACUCUCAUCCAGUCUCUAUCAGUAGUAGAGUUGAUAUUUUGCUUCCAUGCUUUCUGACUUCUGUGACUUAUCUCUCAAUUAUUUCUGUACACAAGAGGGGAAGAAAAGGUGCAAUUUUUAUCAACCUAUAGCUCCUAGUACCAAGAAUAUAACAAGUUAGAAUUUUUUAUUUUCAUUGUUAUUGAAUUUGUCCUACUACCCAUGUAAUAAAUAUUAAACAGUCUAGCCUCUUAUCCAGUACCUGUGAGAGCAGAAUUAAUAUUUUUUCUUUUUUCUUUUUUAAUCACUUCCUAUUGUACAAUCUGUGACUUAAACUCAGUUCCAUGUAAUUUCACCUGCAUUUUAUAAUCCACUCUUUGCCUCCUCUACAUGAGAAACUCAUUCGCCUCCCUUUCUUUGGCGAGAGACCAAUUACUAGCUGAGAGCCACUAGGAAGAUUCUCCUCCUAAGAAGAAAAUGUGCCUUGUAAGAUGAUCAAGAAAAACUGAUCAUUAUGAGAAGUGAGUACAUUACUCUAUGCCUCUCUUCUGAUGAAGCGUUAAAAUAUAUAUUAGAAUCUCAAAAGUUGCAAGAGAUCCUACAACAAAGGAACAAACUUAGUGUUUAAUCUAGCAGUUUCCAAAUAUUCUUCACAGUGGGAGAUUUUGUUUGUGUGUUUAUUUGUUUGUGUUCUCCUAUGACAUUAUCAUCUCCCACCUCAGGGAUUUUGCUCUGACUGUGGUCCUGGGCCUUGCUCCAGUAUCCACUCUGGUAACUAUCAUCUGAUUUACAAUGCAUGCCUUUGGUUAUCUUUUUGCUUUUUUAUUUAGCACUGUUCCUCACUAAACAGUGAACUGCACAAGAGCAGAACUUUAUGCAUUGAGUUUUCUACUUUAUUACCAAUAUUUGCAAACAUGCCUUUCGAUAGCAAACAUUGAAACAAAGGAACCAAUCUCAAAAGAAUAAAUUUUUUAUGGAGUAUUCAUUAUCCAGUGCUUUUCUUUCUUAUUUUUAUAUUUCAAAUACUACUAUGUUAUAUCUGAUUAAGUGUAUUUAAAUCUGUAUUUCAGCACUUCAGACUUAAAGUUAAUAGAGAAAAACCUUAGGUUUGAAAAAUUAUUUUAUUUCCUAUGCCUUCUUCCACACUAACUUGUAAAGGUUAUACAUGUAUUAUAAUUUAAUAUGAUAAAAAUCUAAAGCUAUAAUAAUAAUCUGCCUAGUGUAUAAUUUGAUUAAUUAAAAACAUUUUUGGUCAUUUAUUUCUGUUGACAAUAUUUCAAAAUUAAAAUAAUUGGUUUUAGUCUUUUUGUUUGUUUUACAUUUUUCUUGGUCAAUAGUAGUAUUUUAGAAAGUUCUAACAGAAACUUCACCCAUUUUAUUUCAUGACCUUGCCAAAUUUUCAUCCUGGCAGAAAAAAAAAUGUCUACAUUAGAUGUCUAACUUGAAUUAUUAAUAUAUUGGAUGGUAGUCUUUAAAUCAGGACUGCAAUGACUGAGCCACCUGGACAUGUUAUGAGGUCUGGCUCUACUGAAAUUCUCAUCCCCUCUUGGUUUACUUCUACAAGUUACAUGCCAAAAACUGAAAUGGCUUUCAGCCAGUCCAUCAACAGCCCUUCUUCUUUGUAAAAUAUCUCACUUCGUAUCUGAACAUAACUCCUUUUAUAGAAGUGUGAAUUGCCCUCAUUUCUUUGGUUAGGAUUCUGGUGUUGGUCUAUAAUAUUACAGGUAUGAUAGAGUUUCUCUAGGUAAGACUGUGUUUGUGCUAAUCAUAAAACUUUGCUCUUCAUAUGUACCUAUGGGAAAAUGCAAAUCUUGCUAGGGUUUUCUGUCUGUAUAUUUAAUAAUCCUUACUUUACAGAUCUUGUUUUUCACAAAAGCACUGAAAUAGAGAUAUAUUUUAGGCUGUUGCCAAAGUAAAUGCCACUCUAUUUAAGGCAAUAUACAAAACCUUCUUCCAGCAUUUUCUAUAAAACUGUUUUUGCACAUAAAUAUGUUUUCUAUGUUUUUAUCCAUUAUAAAUUUCAAACCGUCAAUUCAUGGCAGGAAGGCAAUUUGGAUAUAGAGAAAGAAUGUGUUUGCUAUGUUAAUUUGCUUCACAGAACUUUCUUUUAUCUCAUCUGGAUACACUCUGUUUUAUUGUUCAAAACAUUCUUCCAUUGUAAAUUUUGCCCAGUUACAAAAAUAAAUAGAAAGAAGAAAAUAAAUAUUGAAAUAUUCUUUUCUCUCAGUAGAAAGUUUACUGGCUUUCAUUUAUCCCCUCCCUAAGGAGAAUCAGUUUGUAAAUUAUUUUUUCCUGGGGAACUCUAUGUGCUUUGAGCAAGAUGAAUCAAUUUGGUUUUAAAUUGAAGUAACAAAGCCUUGAUAAAUUGUCUGCAAGACAUUCACUUAUAAUUAGAAUGACUUGAGAUAGAAGUUUGGCAGGAGUAAAGGUUAAUUCCAGAGUAGCGUUUUCAAUUACUCUCCCAUAAAUCUGCCACUAAAAUGCUUUUAGAUUAUUCAUUUCAGAAAUAUGCUCUGAUGCACAUUCAUACAAGAGCCCCUUUUUCUCUAUGAUCUAACUUCUAUUGCCAACACUUACAAUAACUGUGCUAGUACUGGAGGUCAUGUAAUACAGUUUGCUGUCUACAAAGAAUUCUUGUUUUAUAUUGUGUCACAAAAAAAAAGGAGUGUAGGUAUAAAUUGGAGAAUUGCAAAUCAUAUGAUUUGUGAGAAAUUACCCCUCCUUACCAGAGAAAACUUACCGUACCAGAGAAACCGUACAAUAUAUUUGUAGAUAUGAUAAAUGCUAAUUUCACAGUAUCAACAUUUUCACAGUGUAUUAACUCUGAGACUAAGAAAAACUUUAUUUCCCGUAAGUUAUGAGUUUUGUGGAGAUGGGUCAUGUUGGUCCUCUGGGAAGCUGACAUUGAAGUGGAGUUGAGUCAGCACAGUGUAUUGGAGGAUAAUGUGAGUGAGAGAUUAAAAGGAGAAGACAAAGAAUUGGGCAGGGAAAUCCUUCAGACCAUGAUGCAGGUAUGACACAUGAGAUAGAGUGAAAUAAGAAAGAAUGAUCAGCUACAACAGCAAUCCAUAAUGUAGAGCUGACAAAGUCAACCCAACGAGUAACUUGAGAAUGAUCACCUAUCAGACAUGUCCUACAUUAGAGAGAAAUAGCAUGUCUGUAGUGGAGUUACAGGGGUCAUUUAUUGGCUUGGGCUACCUGAGAAGAAUGUGGCCUCAUCUCAAAAGUUAAGGAAGCUUCUGAAGGCAUUGAGUCUUGAGGUUGUUAGCUAACUGCCCUACUUUGAGGAAGCCCCAAGGAGUGCAUCUCCAUGGUUGCUACAGUUCCACUCCUAUAUCAUGUGAAUAAACUUCUACAUCCACAUAGAGGGAGCAGUUCCUCUAGAGUUCUAGUGAGCACCUCUUAAAUGAAAACGAAGCGGGAGAUUGAUAGGAUACAUUUAGUCCCAAUUGCUAUAAUUGUUCUUGGUGUCACAACUGGUACUCAUUAUUUCCCUUGGCACUAUCCAUUCUAAAUUGGCUGGCUUUGGCUUGUCACCUUUAUGAGGUCCUCUGGCUUCUUGGUGGUAAGACUCAAACAUUCCUAUUAGAGAGUUUAGACUCUGAUAAACAUACCUUUCUCAGGCUAUUUUUGCUACAUUUCUCCAUUCAUAGUCACAGUCACAUGGUAAUGGAAUAACAAGAAGCACCAGAGUGAUGACCUCAGUCCCACACGUUUUACUCCUUGCUCUCAUGGUGUUACAGCAGCCCUACCUCCAUCUGAUUAGGAUCAAUUAUUCAUACACAAAGAAGACUACUCUUCUUGCUUGGUUCCCCAAACACAAGGAAUACAAAGUGUCCAGUUGGCAACACUAGUUUGUAGUGAAUGUGACUAUGCUAUGUCCUUUAGCAAGAGUGCACAAUAGUAAGGGUUCAGACCCUCUAGCCUCGAGGAGUCCUUAUUUGCAGACAUGAGAAUGACAGCAAGUAAGGCCACUUUUGCUACCAAACACUGGUCCUGCUAAAGGACAUAGCAAAGUUGCAUUCACUACAAACUAAUAUUGCCAACUGGUUAUCAGACUUCUGUGUUCUUUCUACUCAAAAAAAAAAAAAAAAAAAAAGCACUGUAUAUAGGAUAGGCUCUAAUUCAGUGUUGAAGCAAUCGUGGAGAAUGGUACUUCACCUUCACUGAGUAUUGUCUCCACUUUGCCUUCAGGCAAUUCCAACAUUAUCAAUCCAGCUGCAUUUGAAUGGAGCAUUAUGGUGUAGAACCAGUGGAUUCCAUUGUUAUGGACUCACACCUGUACCUCCUUUACUGUAAAGUGUGUUUGUUUGGUUAGAUACUAUUUUGUGUGGGAUUUGAGUUAAUCACUCAAUAACCCUGAAUGUUGAGGGUGGAUGAUGGUAUAUGGACUGUAAAGGCAAAUUUAUACUCAGAAAAUUGUUUACUCCAGUGAAGACAACUUAAUACCCCUUCAGGUAAAGAAGAAUCUGGCUUGGUAAACUCCUCAGGAAACAGUAACGUUAAGGGGGGAUCAACUUUGUUCUUUGCUGCUGAUAGGAUAAAGAUACAGAAGAUGUAACAGGUCGAUUGAUCUUGACAUUUGCAGCCCAUGUUGCAGCCCAUUCUUGUUGGGUCCAUGUGUAGCCUCCAUCUGCCAUUGUGGUUACUCUUUUCAUGUACCCAUUAUGCCAUUUCUGGAUCACAUGAAGAUGGAGAAAGGACAAUGUCAAUUGACAUUAUUUUGUCUUCCUGGUUGUGCAAGGCUUCUUCCAAAAAUGGAUGAUUUCUGGUGGGAGUUAACAUGUGAUACAAACAUAUUUACACUUUGUGCUUUCACCAUAUAGCCAUAUACAUGGUUCUAUCCAAGAACUAUUUGUCUUUGAUGUUUCAUUUCUUUUUAUUUCAGGCUCUUGUGCAGUUAGCCACAUUAUUUGCUACUGCUCAUGACUGAUAUAUACAGACAUAUUAUACUUCGUGAUCUGAUCAUCAUGAUAUCAUGAUGUAACAUAGUUCUCUGUGUUCUGUCUUGAUCCAGGUUUGAUGCACUAGCAAAAGGCCAGUAAGUUGCCUUUUUUAAGUGGCUAAGUCUAUACUUCAACCAUUUCCUUCAAUGGGCCAUCAAACUGUGGGCUACUCUGUAUCAGCCCUAAUAGCCCCAGCAGAAUCAGAUACCAGACAACCAGAGACAGCCCCUGUACUCCAGAUGCUACUGAAAUUAUUCACAUUAGCCAAUCCUAGACAUACUUUUCCUGCCUUGUCCUUUUGUUCUUGCAGAAACCAUAAUAAAGUAUUACUCAGAGGCCUCUUCCCCCUUGUUGUUUGCAGGAACUGUGAAUAUAACAAACCUGUAAACUUUUUCAGUUCUCUGUCUUGAUCUGUAUCUGGCCUCAUCAUACAUAACCUAAGGUAAUAUAGUGAAAUGCAUGAAGGAACAGUCAAUGCAAUGUUCUCUGGGAUGGCUAAAUAAUUCAGAUAUUUUGGGGUCUCUGUUAUGACAGAGAAAAUGACAGUUAAUAGACCCCUGGGUUAAACUGAAUAUAUAUAUAUUAUAUAUGUAUGUAUAUAUAAAACAUAUGUAUAAUAUACAUAUGUAUAUAUUAUAUAUAUAAGGACUAACAUAUAUAACAAAUAAAUAUUAGUCCAAUUCAUGGAAAUAAGAAAACUUUCUGAUCAUUUUUCCGUAUUAGACUUAUAUUUGUCAAAUUGAUUAUCACAUACUGUAUAGCUGGAGACGUAUUUAUCCACUGAAGCAUAUUUAUUAUGGCAUCUAUGAUUGAGACCAUGACGUGAUUGAAACUGUGGUAUUCUAUGGCCAUUCUCCAGGAUCCCUUCAUUUACAGUUAAGACCACACUAGUGGGUUAAACAGAAAUAUGACAGGAGUCACCGUUUUGCCUCAUUUAGAUCUUUAAAGGUAGCACAACAUACUGCCAUCUUGUGUCCCUCUAGAGAUGCAAUAGUGGUUUUCAUUUACUUUCAAGGUGAAGCUGGGGGAAGUGUUUGAAGCUUGGCCUCCUCCAUUCUCCUCAAAGCCCUUAAUAUACAGAUCAAGGACUCAGUAGGAGUAUCAUCUAACUGCCAAAUACUUUAAUUGAAAUUAUACAUUCAGGGCCUGGAGGAUGUAAUCACAAGGUGGAUCUUCAGACCGAUGGAUCAAUGUUAAACCAAACAUUAGCCAUAACCUCUGUAUUAGGCCAUUAUUGUAUUGCUAUAAAGAAAUACCUGAGACUGGGUAAUUUAUAAAUAAAAGAGGUUUAACUGGCUCAUGGUUCUGCAGACCAUGCAGAAAGCAUGGUGCUGGCAUCUGCUCGACUUCUGGAGAAGCCUCAGAGAGCAAAAUUUUACUCAUGGUAGCGGGUGAAGUAGGAGCAAGCACUUCACAUGGUAAAAACAGGAGCAGGCUUGGAGGGUAGGUACAACACACUUUUAAAUGACUAGAUCUCAUGUGAACUCAGAGUGAGAACUCACUUAUUACCAAGGUGAUGGCCCAAGCCAUUCAUGAGGGAUCCACCGUGAUGAUCCAGUCACCUCCACCUCCAAUCUCCAGGGAUUACAUUUCAACGUGAGAUUUCAGUAGGGAUGAGUUUCCAAACUAUAUUAACUCCAAUAAAUACCUGUUUCCUGUAUGCCUCUACUUGAAUAAGGAAGCCAUGAUAAUGCUUCAGGUCUUCAAGUAUCAAUGCUCAUUCAUAGCUUGUGUUCAAUUGAUCUUGAUAUGUCUAGCAUCUCUAUUACCUAAGGUAUCAUCUGAGUAAACAGCUGAAAGUCCCUUUGGGGAAGGGCUGGGGGAAACCAUUUUCUGUUUAAUUAUUUUGAAAUUGCUGAGUCCUUUCACUUGGGAACCUAGGCACUUCAAUCAGUGCAUUCUGGAUCUGAAAAUUGACUUAGUUUUGGAAACUGAGGAAAAGAUCAUGACUCCAUUGGAGUGGCUGCCCUUAGCUUCCUGUUCAUCCAUGUUUGCUUUCUUUUCAUUAUGUAUUUUCAGCAGAACAUUUUUGGCCUCACAUAUUUUGUUCUCACACAUGCUUUUUUUGUGUUAAACAUCUUAUCAGCUUUCUAUGUGUCAAUCUCAGCUUAAAUAUCACUCGGAACUUGCCACUCCUUAUGGUAAUAUACAGAUCAAGGACUCAGUAGGAGUAUCAACUAACUGCCAAAUACUUUAAUUGAAAUUAUACAUUCAGGGCCUGGAGGAUAUAAUCACAACGUGGAUCUUCAGAUCAAUGAGUCAAUGUUAAACAAAACAUUAGUCAUAACUCCUGUAUUAGGCCAUUAUUGUAUUGCUCUAAAGAAAUACCUGAGACUGGGUAAUUUAUAAAUAAAAGAGGUUUAAUUGGCUCAUCGUUCUGCAGACCAUACAGAAAGCAUGGUGCUGGCAUCUGCUCGACUUCUGGAGAAGCCUCAGAGAGCUUUUACUCAUGGCAGAGGGUGAAGUAGGAGCAGGCACUUUACAUGGUAAAAACAGGAGCAGGGUUGGAAGGUAGGUGCCACACAAUUUUAAAUGACUAGAUCUCAUGUGAACUCAGAGUCUCCCAGAUUUGGGUUAUUAUGAGAAGCCACAGGGCUUCUAUUGCUUUGAUAUGCCAUUAUCCCCAUUGCUAUCAACAUGCCAAGCUCUAUGGCAGGUUCUCCUGUACUAACCCCGGCCAAGACUUCUGGGUGAUGUCAGUGUCUCUCUCACAAGAAUGUUCCCAAUAAUCUUCAUGAAUGCUGCAUCUUCUGAGCCUCCCUUAGGACAUAAUCUUCUAGUGUUCUUUUGGCAUCACAUAAUAUAUCCAUUCCAGCAUGUCCACUUUCCUGAAUGUUUUCAUCUCUUCUUUCACUGUCUGUCACAUCAAUUCAGGCAUUUCAACUUUGCUCAGCAUGAAAGUUUGCUUUCUGUAGGCUUCUGUAAGACAUACCCUGAGGUCCCUGCUAGGAUGUUAAAUUCCAAAUCUUGAGACAAUAUACUGUGAAUAAAAUGUUGCCGAUCCAGUUUUAUAUUAUGUUCUCUUUCACAAAUCCAGUGGCUAAUUUUUGCAGGUCCAUUAAUGUAAAGUUCUUUCUUCCUUAUUAAUCCUGGGAUGAUAUCAAUUUGGAUGUGCUGUGACUUAACCCUAAUUAUCAAAUUGGUGUCCAUGGAAAAUGUAAGGAUAGAGUUCCACAGUAUCUUCCUGCACAAAGGGAUUGCUAGGUUAUAAUGGGAGAUGUGAGAAACCUCUGUAGGGUCUGUAAGUUCAGAGUAGUCUAGAGAGCUAAAAUUUUCAAGGAUUCAGAUGUUUCUAUUCUCUAUAUCAGGGUUCCAAGUUUUUCCUACCAGGGUUCAACUUUGGCAUAACAGAUCUGCCUCAGUUGAAUUGCGAGUAAUUUUGAAAUUGGGUAAAUCUAAGUAUAAUAUGCUAUUCUACCCUCUCAUAGCAGGUAAUAAAAUUUCCACUUAAGGUACAAAAAAAAAGCCUCUUAUCUUCACACUUUGUUUUGAAUUGCUUGUCUACUGUCCUAAGCUUCCAUUAUCACUCUGUUGGAUAUCAAGAAAACAAUAACAAUCAAUAAACAUAAAUGUCCCUUGUCUGCAUUUCUUCUGUACUUUUUAAAUGCCUGCAUCAUUGUGCUGGUGAGUACAGUCACAUCCAAAUGACCAUUUUCCCAAGCCAUCACUACCACACUAUUUAGCAGUAGAGCUGCCAUUCUAUUCCAGACACUAUCUAUUUUUAGCAUGCCUCUUGGGAUUGGAUUUCUAUUACCGACAAAGCAAUGAGAUAUACAGUCCCCAAAUCCUAUCUUACCACACCUGCUUUCUCAAACCACUCCCAAUAUCUCUCAGUUACAUCUUCUGGGAAUCUGAUUCUGUAGGAAGUUCAUUGAGAUUAACUCCUGUGGGAAAUAGAAUAGAAGGAAGUAAAAGCAGUCAAGGAUAGCUUCCAGACCCCAGGGAACACUGGAGCCAUGAGAAAAGAAAGCAAGGAGAAAGAAGAAUUGAACAAGAACAACAAACUGAAAUUUAUAUCUGACAAUGUCUUGGCCACUAUAACAGGAAGAGACAGUGCAAUGAUAAUCUAUUACCUGAGUCUUAUAUUGGGUAGAUAUGGCCUGGCCCUGAUACCCCUGCCAUUGUCCAUUCUUGGAGGGCAGCUGAUCAAGAAGAGAAUGAAGUCAGCUUGUAAGUGAAGACAGAUGUGCCAGGUGACACAGCUGGAAGCUAUUAGCUAUCUGAAUUUCUUGCAUAUCAACUGCUAUUACAUUCUUGAAGGGAUAUCCAACUAGAAUACCCCUGUGGCUGCCUGAAGAUGUGAGGAAAAUAAUAUGGAACUAAUAAGAGGAAUGACAUUUUGAAAUAAAUUAUUAAAACAACACUGAUAUGGUUUGGGCCUGUGUCUAUGCCCAAAUCUCAUAUCAAAUUGUAAUCCCUAAUGUCUGAAAAGGGGCCUGGUGGGAGGUGACUGGGUCAAGGAACACAUUUCUCCCUUGCUGUUCUUCUGAUAGGGAGUGAGUUCUCACGAGAUCUGGUUGUUGAAAAGUGUGUAGCAACUCUCACUUCUUUCUCUUCCUCCUGCUUCAGCCAUGUAAGACUUGCCUGAUUCCCUCAUGAUUGAAAGUUUUCUGAGGCUUUCUCAGCCAUGUUUCCUGUACAGCCUGCAAAACAAUGAGCCAAUUAAACCUCUUUUCUUUCUAAAUUGCCUGGUAUCAGGUAGUUCUUUAUAGCAAUGAAAGAAUGGACUAAUACAGUGAGUGAGUUAUCUUAAGAUCUGGUUGUUGAAAAGCAUGUGGUACCUCUCUCCUCUCUAAUUUCCUGCUGCUCUGGCCAUGAAGGACAUGCCUGCUUCCCCUUCACCUUCUACCAUGAUUGUAAUUUUCCUGAGGCCUCCCAAGUCACACUUCCUGUACAGUCUGUAAAACCGUGAGCCAAGUAAACCUCAUUUCUUUAUAAAUUAACCAGUCUCCCUGUUUCUUUAUAGCAGUGCGACAAUGGACUAAUACAGAAAAUAGGGACCUAGGAGUAAGGCAUUGCUAUAAAGACAUCUGAAAAUGUGGAAACAGCUUUGGAAAUGUGUAACAGGCAGUGGUUGGAAUAGUUUUGAAGACUGAGAAGAAGGCAGGAAGAAGAGAGAAAGUUUGGAACUGUCUACAGACUUAUUGAAUAGUUUUGAUCAAAAUGCUGAUAGUGAGAUGCAUAGAUGGCCAGGCUGAUGCAGCCUUAGAUAGAGAUGAGGAACUUAUUGGGAAGUGAAGCAAAAGUCACUUUUGUUAUGCAUUAGCAAAGAACCUGAUGGCAUUGUGUCCCUGCUCUAGUGAUCUGUGGAACUUUGAACUUGAGAGAGAUGACUUAUGAUAUUUAGCAGAAGAAAUUUCUAAGCAGCAAAGCAUUCAAGAUGAAGCCUGGCUGCUUCUAAAAACCUAUGCUUAGAUGUGUGGACAAAGAAAUGACCUGUAACUGGAACUUAUAUUUAAAAAGGAAGCAGAGCAUAAAAGUUUGAAAAAUCUAUGGCUUGUCCACAUGGUAGAAAAGAAAAACCCAUUUUUAGGGGAGAAAUUCAAGCAAGCUGCAGAAAUUUGCAUAUCUAAAAGAAAGAGAAGUACUAAUAACCAAGACAAUGUGGUUGUCUUGGUUUCAUGAAGUUUCAUGGCAGCCACUCCCACUAUAGGCCAGGAGGCCUAGGAGUAAAAAAUGGUUUUGUGGGUCAGUCCCAUGGCCCCACUGCCUUGCACAGCCUCAGGACACUGCUCCCUGAAUCCUUAUUGCUACUGCUCCAGCCAUGGCUCAAAGGAGUCCAGGUACUCAGGCUGCUGCUUCAGAGGGUGCAAGCCAUAAAACUUCAUGGCUUUCAUGUGGUGUUAAACCUGUGGGUGUGCAGAGUACAGAAGUUGAGGCUUGGAAGUCUCCACCUAGAUUUCAGAAGAUGUAUGGAAAAGCUUGGAUGUCCAAGCAGAAGUUGGCUGCAGAAGCAGAGGCCUCAUGGAGAAACUCUACCAGGGGAGUGCAGAGGGAAAAAGUGGGGUUGGAGCCCACACACAGAAUGGAGCUGUGAGGAGAGGGUCACCAUUCUCCAGACCCCAGAAUGGUAGAUCCACCAACAGCUUGCACCAUAUUCCUAGAAAAGCCACAGACACUUAUCACUAGCCAUUGAGAACAGCCACGGGGGCUGAGUCCUGCAGAGCCAAAGGGGCAGAGCUGUCCAAAGCUUGGGGAGCCCACCCCCUGCAUCAGUGUGGCCUGAAUGUGACACUUGGAGUCAAAGGAGAUUAUUUUGGAGCUUUAAGUUCUAAUGUCUUCCCUGUUGGGUUUCAGACUUGCACAAGGCAUGUAUCCUCUUUCUUUUGGCUGAUUUCUCCCUUUUGAAAUGGCAGUAUUUACCCAAUGCCUAUACCCCCACUGUAUCUUGAAAGUAAACUAACUUGUUUUUUAUUUUAUAGGCUCAUAGGCAGAAGGGUCUAGCCUUGUCUCAUGAUACUUUGGACUUUGAACUUUUGAGUUAAUGCUACAAUGAGAUAAGUUUUAGGAGGACAAUUGAAGAGGCAUAAUUGUAUUUUGAAGUGUGAGAGGGAUGUGAGAUUUGGGAGGGGAAGAGAGCAAAAUGAUUUGGUUUUGGUCUGUGUCCCUGACCAAAUCUAAUGUCAAAUUGUAAUCCCUAAUGUUGAAUGUGGGGCCUAGUAGGAAGUGAAUGGAUCACAGGGGUGAGUUUCCCCUUUGGUGCUGUUCUUGUGAUAGUGAGUAAGUUAUUGCUGGAUCUCAUUGUUUAAAAGUGUGUGGCAUCUCUCCUCUCUUAUUAUCCUGCUCUGGUCAUGUAAGACAUUCCUGCUUGCCCUUCACCUCUGCCAUAAUUUUACGUUUCCUGAGGCCUCCCCAGCUAUGCUUCCCCUAGAGACUGUGAAACAGUGAGCCAAGUAAACCUCUUUUCUUUAUAAAUUAACAAGACUCAGGUAUCUCUUUAUAGCAGUGCAAGAAUGGACUGAUAGAAAUGCCAUUUAUAAUGUGUUAAAAAGAAUAAAAUAAAUACUUGGGAAUAAACUUAACCACAGAGUUGAGGGAUCUUCACAAUGAAAUCUGAGAUAUUGAUGAAAGGAACCAAAAACAAAACAAAUAAAUGAAAAGAUAUUGCAGGUUCAUGAAUUGGAAGAAUUGGUAUUGUUAAAUUACUAUCCAAAGCAAUCUACAGAUUUAAUGUAAUCUUUAUCAAAAUUGUAAUGACAUUUUCAGGAAAUCAUAAAAAACAAAUAAAAAAUUAGUAUGAAAUCACAAAAGGCUGUAUGUAACCAACAUAAUCUUGAGAAAAAGACCACACAAAAACUCAUAACCAUGUAAGGUAAUGGAUGUGUUAACUAAUGUGAUUGCACUAAUAAUUUCAUAAUGUAUCAAACUAUAUUUCAAAUUUUUAUGGUAUACAUCAUAUAUAUGCAAUGUUUAUAUACCACCUGUACCCCAAUAAAGCUGGAAAAUAAAUAAAUAAGUUUUUAAGAAUUAUUAAAACAAUUCAUCUUGCCAUUAUUUUCAGAAAGUGAAUACUUGAAGAUCAAAAAGUUAUGUUAGCUAAUAUAAGAAGGGUAAUUGGCUUACUCUAAAUUUUUCAAAAUAUACAACUAUUUUCCAUUCUGCUGAGUGUGAUAUUAGAUUUUAAUUAUAAAUACCAUAUCAAUGUAAAAUUAUUGCAAUUUGUCUCAUUAAUCAUAUACUCAUGUGAAAUAUUUAAAUCCCGGUAUCGCGUGGCUGGCAGGUUUUUUUCCAAUUUUACUAAUUAUUCCCAAUGAAAUUGCCUCCCUUUAUCCAUUAUUCCAUGAAUUCCACUUCCACAUUGACUCUAGAACAUUGGCCAAUAUAGUACAUUUAGAUUUGCCCUCAUACAAUUUUUCUGUAAGCCCUCUAAGCUCGAAGAAUCCCAAGUCUAUAGACUAUGGUAUAGAAAGAGUCCCUGUCAUCCCGACUGUCCCAGAUGAGUCCAGCCUCCAGUAGAUCUGCCAACUGACUAUAGAAGCACAAGUGAGACCUAGUGAUUCCAGGCAAUUUCAGGAGUACUGAUCAAGCAUUUCACAGAAUUGUGAGAAAGAAUACAUUUCUUUUAAGACAUUAAGUUUUUUUUCUGCUUUGCUAUGCAACAAUAGAUAAAGGAUGUAAAGUCUUCUCAAUAUCAUUGAGGUUGUAUACAUCAAUCAUCUUUAAAAAGACAAAAACUGAAUGUCAGUUUUUUAAAGUAACAGAUACUAUCUGGGGGAAAAAGUGCUGCAACCUAUGUUUAUCUAAAUGCAGAUUCUAAAUUAUUCUCAGAAAAGUAUACUUGUAAAUGUCAAAGUAGGUUUAUUUUUAUCUUCUUGUAGAAUAUAAACAUCUAAUCUGUACUUAUAAAAAUGCUUUUUAAAAAACAUUCUAUGGUGGUAAAUUAACAUGUUUUUGACAUGUCAUUUAUAGUAUAAUUUCAGCACACAUAUUUAGAAUACUCUGUAGAAAGUCAUAAAUAAGGUAUGUACAUAUGAACAGCAUUUUUGGUGUUAAAAACUCUACUCAGAAAAAUAUAUUCUGAAACAAAUUUUGAUUAUACUGUAUAUUUUGUUUUACCUGUUUCACUUAUUUAUUAAAUGCCUCAUAUUUGCCAGUGACUAAAUUCUACAUUUAAAAUAUGAAGUUGAAUAAGAAAUGUCCUCAACUUGCAAAUAGCCUGCAGAUAUGUAAAAUAACAAUUAUAAGGUUGUUACAUGGAUGAUAAAGAAUGGGUUUCACAGGAAAAAAAUAUUAAGAUGAGAUUUAAAGAUAAAGUGGCUGAUCUGUCAAGGAGCUGGAAGAAUUGUAGAACUGCAACUGGGAGUAAAAGAAUACGGUAUGCUUGAGAAAAUAUUUUGAAAUCUCACAAGAAAAUUCAAUAAUAUUAAUUGUUUAAUAACAAAUGAUGUUAUGUUAUUGGUUACAUUUUUUAUCUGUAUUCUUAUUCCUGUAGCAGCUCCACUGAUGAUGAGGUGAGUGGAUCGAGUCACCACAACAAGGAAAGACCCAUUUCUGAUAUUAACACUAGUUCCUUGAGGGGAAAUUAAAUGAGAUAAUGACUGUGACACAAUUUGGAAAGCUGUAAAGUACCAUUAAAAUUGAACAUUUGAAUUUCUAUUAUUUUUCUUUAUUUGGUUAACCAUAAGUGCUUACAUAUAUGGUAGCAUUUGUAAAAUUGUGUUUAACUAUAUCUUGACAUUUAAACCAUCCGUGUUGAUUUUAUAGGUAAAAGUUGGCUAGAAAGUCCUUAUUAUUUGAGUGUUUCAGUAAUCUAAAGGUAAAACUAAUAAAAAGAAAACUCAUUUAUGCAGCUCCAUUUUCUCCUUCACCAAAUCUCAAUGUUACAGCUAUUACAAGUGGAAAAUAAAUCAUUCUUAAACAUAACUUUUUUAAAUUGUGCAUCGCAUUAAAAGAUUUUAAGAAUUCUAACUCAACAUUUUUUUCAGGCUUUCAAUAUGAUAUGCCUGUUAUUCCGAGAAAAAUGAUUUGCUACAUGAAUGUGAUUGACAAUGUGACUUACAGUUUUUAAAAAUGAGAGAAGCAGAAAUAAAAACACAGUGGCUUCAAAUCAAUUUGAAAAUAAAUUAUAUUUGUAAUUUGGCUUUUAGCAAGCAGAUUUGUUCCAAAUGUGUUUAACUGAUUUUAAAAUGAUGAUAUUGUUAUCUCCAAAAAGUAUAAUCAAUAUCCACUUAAAUUUCUGAGCAUUAGAUAUGACAUUGAUCAUAAUAUCUGACUUCAGCUUUUAUACUGCCUUUAAAAGGAUAUAAUAUACCUAGUCAUAUUUCCACGGACCUUUGAAAUGAGUGCUAAAUAUGAACAUAAGUUCAUAUUGGCACUGUCACUUAUUUUUGCCUCCAGGGUUCUACUGCCAUUCCAGAGACUCUGAAGACUUUUUGUUUAAAAAAAAAAGAAAAAAAAAAAGAAGAAAACUUCAGGUAACCUUGAUUUAAUCUACUUAGCAAAAAACAAUAAAGAAAUUCUCACCUGCCAGCAAUUAUCUCUCAAAUUCACACUACAAUAAGAAGGAUUAUAAACAUUAAAUGGUCCCCUAGGAGUGUUCAGCUAGAGCACUUUGGAUCAUAGCAGGUCGAUCUGAUCUAGUUCUAUCACCCUCCAUUAUAAACUUUGUCAGCAUAGUUCUAAAAAUACACAGGAAUACAUUCUCACCUUUCCAGGGGCUGCACUGUAGAAAUGCCCACCACUGUGCUAGCUCCAGUGCAUUAUUUUUAUCCCUUUUGCAUCCAUAAUUCCUUUCUCUACUUAUUACAUUCCACAGAUCAGACUAUACCAUAGCCCAAUACUUGGGAAAACCAGAAGAAAGUAAUUAAUCCAUGUCAUUUAAUGUGUGCAAACAGUUCUAUUUCAGCUACAUUCUCUGACUUUACCAGUAUUUCAUACUGUUUGAAAUAUCCAUUUCUUUUUAUUCUUCCCUGUUUGUGUUACUAAAAGGUUCAAUUGAAUUGCAAACAUAUUAAAAGAAGAAAUAUGUAAAAUUAUCGUCUAUUAACUACCCAACCUGAAUUUGCUUAACAAGUAAGACAUUGUAGAGAAUAAAGAAGUGUAGGAAAUAAUUGCAUAUGCACAUUAGCACACACGUAUAUACCAAUAUCAAAUUGCAGGUAGAAGACAGAAAGAUGGAGCAGUUCCCCAAAAAUAUUUUGCUACAUUUCAAUAGUAAUUUUAAUGCUAUUAACUAACAAUUGUCAAGAGUUGGCUGUCUUUAUUUUACUGAAUGUUUUUACGCUGAAUUAUAGUGAUAUUAAGUGUAAUGUCCUGAUUUACACUUGUUUGAAUUUUUCUGAGUGAAGUUUGCUUCUUUUGUCUUUCCUUCGUUGAGUCAUUUUUUCUUUGAAAUUCUUGCUGGUUUUCUGUAAUAGUUUCUUUUUAAUUGUUAUAAAUUGCUUUCUUUAUGCAAUAUGCUAAUAUGUUGAUUUUGUAAUGGAGUUCUAAGAGAGGGCAAAAGAAGAGGUGUUAAACGUCUUGGCUAUUGGGCUUAAUUUUGGCCUAAGACAUAAUAUCAUCAAUAAUAUAGGUUUUUAAAAAAAUAUUCAUGGCAAUGUAAGUUUGACUCCACAUUUUUAACAUAUUUAAUUGUUGAGAUAUAAUAACAAUACAUUUACAGAAAUCUGAUAAUAAUCAGGAAGACGAGAAAUCGUCUGUUUGCUAAAAUUUAUGGUAGUUUACCCAAUGUUGUUCCUUUGCACUUUUUUUUUUUUUUUGAGACUGAGUCUCACUCCGUUGCCCAGGCUGGAGUGGCACGAUCUCAGCUCACUGCACCUCUGCCACCCAGGUUCAACGAUUCUACUGCAUCAGCCUCCCGAGAAGCUGGAAUUAAAGGCACAGGCCACCACGGCCAGCUAAUUUUUGUAUUUUUAGUAGAGUCGGGGCUUCACCAUGUUGGCCAGGCUGGUCCCAAACUCCUAACUCAAAUGAUCCGCCUGCCUCAGCCUUCCAAAAUGCUGGAAUUACAGGUAUGCACCACCGUGCCCAGCCCCUUUGCACAUUUUGCCACAUCUAACUGAGUUACAAUGUUGCUUUAAGCAAACUGAUUUCUGAACCAAAGGAAUAGUCACAGAGCCCCAUUGCUACCCACUGUCUCUUCUAAGAUUUGAGGGACUAUGUGCAGAAGGCAGAAUGAAAGUAAAAUAAAAUUUCCUACAUUAUGAGAAAACACCAAAAACCUAAAAAUGCUGAGAUAUACACUGAACCAUCAAAAAAAAUUUAUCAUGAACAAUUUGGAGUAUCAAAGAGUAAAAUUUUAAACAUAGUCUCUGAUUUAAUUCACUAAAUAAUUACAGGUAGCUGAAUUAUUUAUCUAUUACCAAUUUUCAAUUUACAUUGUGAAUUGAAGUGUAUACACAAUGGUUAUUUUACCAAAGUAUUUGUGAAAUUUAAAAAGAUAACUGUGCAUUGUGUAUAAACAUGUUCUCUAAUUUAUAAUAUGUACUAAUAAUUUAGAAGUUAUUUCUAUCUGAUUAUUAGGAAAAGCAUCGGUGCGCUAACAGCAGAAAUAACCCAGACUAUCAUUCAUUUAAAAUAAACUAUCAUGUUGAUAGCAAUAAAGAGAGGUUCAUCAUUCAGAACUUUAAGUCUCAUCUUUUAAAACACAAAACACAUGAAAUGUGAUGUUUUUAAACACAUAUCCUACCUUUCAUAUUAUGCUCCAUGCAUUUAUAUAGAAAAUUCACCUUUGGUUUCUGAUUCUUUAGUGUUAACAUUCAGAAUGACUACAAAUUUAGUUUGAUUACUAUGUUAAAGAAUAUAGGUAAAUGUUUCUAAAUGAGCAAAUAAUGCUGAACAAAUGUAAGAAUAAAAAGUGUUCAAAUACAUUUGACAAUAAUUAAUUAUUUGAAAUAUCAAUCUAUUCAUAUUCUUAAGAAGUGAAAUGACAUUUAAUCUCCAUGGUACUAAUUGCUCAAAUUAUGCAGCUAGAACACUUUCUAUAGAAAAAGAACUAUUUUCCUUGUCUAAUAGAAAAGAAAUUAUUGCUAAUAUCAAUAAUAUUUUUAUAUCAGUAAUAAUUUUCUAAAUAAAACUAUUCUAAAGUUUUAUUUAGAACUACUCUAAGAACUAACUUUAAGAAGUUAAACUUAGUUUGUUUAGAACUGUUUUAUUUAAAAACUAUUCUAAAGUUUUAUAUGUGUUACGUAUAUGCAUAUCUAAGAAUUUUUAGGCUAAUUCUCUUUAGGUGGAUAUCAAUAAACGUGGGAAAUUUAGUCUGAGAAAAUAUUAUAUGCUUAGUGAAAACAAAACCUCAGGAAUAACAGGAUUAUUAAGGAUUACUAAUAGAAUUAUUAAUAAUUAAGAAGGAUUAUUAAGAAGACUUCUGAGAAACAUCACGUUAUGAGGUCAAAUGUAUAAUUCCCAUAUUUCUAUCUUAUCAGGUCGGUGCAAAAGUUAUCGCAGUUUUUGCCAUUAAAAACUUUUAAUGGCAAAAGCUUUUAAUGAGAAAAACCAUGAUAUCAUUUGCACCAACCUAACAGAUAGCAACUGAAAUGACCAACAAUAUUGAGGUGAACAGACAUAAAUAAAUAAAUAAACAAACCAACCAACCAACCAAUCAAUCUGGCUAAAUAAUUGAAACUAGGGAGAGUAAUGCCCAGAGCCUUAAGCUGAAAUGGUGAGGUACAGUCUGUCCAUUAGGCAGUCCAAUAAAGUGCUGAGGAUCAGUGGCCCAGUUCUCAGUCCCAUGCAAGUGGAUCAGUGCCAUGUGGGGUCAGAGGAGGAGAAGAUAAAGGAACUAGCCCAUUCCCCUGGUUUCUACGAGGAGACCAAGCCAUGGGAGGUUCAGGGAUCACUGAAUAAACUGAUGGUGGGUUAGUCUUUUUAAACACAUGUAAUCUUGUUUCUAAAAUCGUAAUAACGCAGCCAUUUCAAAAAUAACUUUGUAGGAGUGCAGAUUCUGUGUGUAGAUUUUCUUGACACAAUAGCUGACUUCACUUUCUUGACCCACUGGCAAUUGAAACAAAACAUGUCAAUCCUCACCACGUUGACACUUGAAGAUGAUGGCAGGCUGAUAAAAAGGAAAUGCAAAAAGCUAGUGUCUAGCACUGAGUUGCUUUGUUUGUUUUGUUUUGUUUUUAACUCUGAGGAAAUAAUUUAUAAAAACUAAAUUUUCUAAAGCCCUCAGCAUCUUAUCCAAGAUGCUUUGACCUUUAACUGGAAAUAUAUGUUUGCAUAAUCCAGACAUCUAACGUAUUUUUACAUUGUUCGUGGAAUAAUUUAUUUUAAACAUCUUUCAGUAGAAACAAUUUUAUUUAAGUGUGCAUAAGUGGACUCCAAUACACAACGUAGAAGAGCAUGAUUUACUCUCUGAAGCAACUCAAUCAUCAGGGCAUGCUCCAAACCUUACCGCUUAGGCACUUCAAAUGCUAUGAUUGAAAUUUCCAUCAUGAUGUUUAUUAAUUAGUAUGAGAGGUGUUAGGGAAAUUUACAGAAACAAAUGGUAUUCAAAUAUGUGGUUUGGAGAAAGCCCACGCAUGAAAGAAGGAAAAAUAUCAGGCAAGAUCAGUAACUAAUACUUUUGAAUUUGUACUUCAAAUGCAGAGUUCUGUUGGUUUAUGAGUCCUCUGUCUUGAUUCAGCUGGUGUGGUACCAAGAUUAUAUUGCAGUUGCUUUUCACGGGAAGUACUUGUUGAGAAUAGAUAUAUACCACUCCCCCAAGUGCCUCCAAUUUUUGAAGACAUUAAUAUUGAAUAAAAGAUCCUACAGUAUGUUAAACAACUAAGUUGUCUCAAGUUUGUUUGCAACACAUAUCUAAGAACAGAUUUGUUUCUAUCCUUAACUAGUUGAGCAAUUAGGGAGAACAAGUGGUAACUAAACCAGACUGUUCUGUGUUUUUCUUAAGAAUUAAACAUACACUGGAAACAUUCACGUACACAUGUGUACACACACACAAACACAUACACCCCUCAGCAGAUAUCUGGGAAAACAUCCUGAAACAUAAAAGACACAACACAAAGCAUAGCACAGACAAAAUAGACAAAGAGCAUAGUAAAUGACAAAAUAACUGCUAAAUUAACUAAUGUAAAUUAUAUAUAUAUAUAUGUAUAUAUCAUUUGCUAUGCACGUUCUCAUUGAACAAGAAUUCUGAAUUAAGAGAUUAACCAACAUUUCUAAGGUAAUUGAAAUGGAAAAUGCUGGCAGCAUAAAAGUAAGAUUAUUGUGUAUGCUUUUCUUUCAAAUCACUUCACCACUGGUGACAGAUCCAAAUCUCAUGGCAUGAGGUGUGAGCUCAUAGCCCAUGAUGAAAUCCACCCAGGUUUAGCUCUGGUGAUUGGUUCAGAGAAGAACAUAACUGUAAAGUGUAGGCUACAAAAAGCCUUCCUUGGAUCUGUUCUUUCAGGAACUGGCAGUUCAAUGGUUGCUUUCAUUUCAUUUCAUUUCAUUUCCAAAGUUCCAUGGACAUGAGCCUAGAACCAUUUGUGUUUGUGAAUUCAAUCUCAUCUGAGCAGCUGGUCUAAGAGAUUCAAGCCAAAAGGCAGAGAGAAACACAUACAAAAGAAAGAGAAAGUCUCAACAAUAUUCAAAUUUUAUGAACCUCUAAAGCCGGCUCAACUCUUUCUACAAUUCAAUAGCAGAAAUGUAUACAAGUCCCAACAUUCCUUCAGUUGGUGUAUGAGGGUCUUGUUAUUCAGGAACUUCACCAAGAUAAGCAUGAAGAGGGGCUGUUACCAAUGACAAGCCAUAAAAUGAAAAAUAUGGCUGAGUCACAGGGGCUGGGAAACAAGGGCUGUCUCUCCCUCAGAAGCUCACGUAGUGUUAUGUGUUAAAUUGUAUUUUGCCCAAGAAUUUACAUCCUUCACUUACUCAAUCAGGAAUUGAGAUGUCAAAGCCAAAUUGCCGAAUAGGGCAAUUCUCCUAGGUCUAAUGUAAGGGAUCAGAUUUUCUGUAGAAAUCAGAAGUCCUAACCCCUAAUACCUCACAAUGUAAGCUUAUUUGAAAAUGAGGUCAUGGCAGAUAUAAUAUUUACUUAACAUGAGGUCCUAAGGAUGGACCCUCAUCCAAUAUUACUGGCAUCCUUAUAAGAAGGGAAGAUUUGGACACAGAUGUACAUAGAGUGAAGGCUAUCUGAAGAAAUAGAGGAAGACGGCCAUCCCCAAGCCAAGGAGAGAGGCCUGGAGCAGAGCCUUCCUCCACAGACAUUAGAAGAAUGAACAUUGACGACACUUUGAUUUUAGACAUCUAGCCUCCAGAACCAUGAGGUAAUAUAUUCUCGUGGUUUAUGCCACCUAGUUUGUGGUACUUUGUUAAGGCAGCCCCAGAAAACUAAUACAGAUUCUAACAGUCCAGGUUCUGAGGCUUUAACCAGGUAUUAAAAUACUCCUGUAGUAUCUCAGUAUUUGGACAUUGCAUACACUGAGAUUUUUUUUUUUUUUUUUUUUUUGAGACGGAGUUUUGUUCUUGUUGCCCAGGCUGGAGUCCAGUGUUGAGAUCUCGGCUCACUGCAACUUCCACCUCCUGGGUUCAAGCGAUUCUCCUGCCUCAGCCUCCUGAGUAACUGGGAUUACACGCACCUGCCACCACGCCCAGCUAACUUUUUGUAUUUUUAGUAGAGAUGGGGUUUCACCAUGUCAGCCAGGGUGGUCUUGAACUCCUGACCUCAGGUGAUCUGCCUGCCUCGGCCUCCCAAAGUGCUGGGAUUACUGGUGUGGGCCACCAUGCCUGGCCACACAGAGACUUUUUUAAAGACUUUGAAAUUGAAGGGGGUUAUUUUAUUUCUUUCUGCUUUAAGUAAAAAGUCUGCAAGUUAGAAACAAGUUGAAAUAAAAUGGGGCUUACAUGUAAAGAAAAGUACAAAGCAAAGCAGAUCUCCAACACUGUUGAAGGAGGACAUUCUGGUUUGUAAUAUGCAGAGCCAAGGAGAAAAGGCCAGUUAAUAACAAGAACAGAAUCUACAAAUACUGGGUUAGUUUUGAUUAGAAGUUGUUGACUUUAGAGGUUUUCUGCAAGUGCUUGUUAGCCAGUGAAGUUGACAUUCAGCCAAUUGAUAAUUUAAAGUUCUUAGACUGCCAGAAAAAAUCUUAAAAUUUUUCAGCAAUUGAGGAAAUCCCCAGUCUCCUUGACCCACUCGAUUGGGAAUUGAGAAGCCAAAGACUGACAACCCUAAUAGGGCAAUUUUCCCAGAGCUAAUGUAAGGGAUCAGAUUUGCAAAGUUAGCUUGUACAAAUCAAAAACCAAACGUGGAAUAGUUGUUUUAUUUGUUUGUUUGCUUGCUUGAUUUUUGAGACAGAGUCCUCACUAUGUUGCCCAGGCUGGUCUUGAACUCUUGGCCUCAAGUGGUCCUCAGCCUCAGCCUCCUGGGUAGCUAGGAUUACAGGCAUAAGCCACCAUGCCCAACCAGGUUCAAUCUGAAUAAUUUCAAGUAUUCAAGUAAUGAAGAGGCGCAAGUGAAGAAAAGAGAGGCCUAGGACAUUGUAUACUAUUUCCCAGGUUUUUCUUUAUCACAUCAGACACACUCUACAGCCAACAAUUAUGCAUGCAAUCUCUAAUAAGGUAUGUGGGUUAGUGGUUCACCUAGCAGAAAACAUUUGUGUUAUAAAGUUAUUUUAUACCCAGAUAAUCACUUAUGUUUUGUUAAGACCGCCUUUGCAAAGAUAAUGACAGUGAGAGAAAUCUAACAUGACUGACUCCAUCUUGCUCCUGGCCUCACAGUCUGGCUGUCUUCAUUCAUUCUUGGGUGUAAGUCAAGCUAACGAUGGGAGGAAUUUAUAUUUUAACUUUGAAGCAAGAAUGGUAAUUGUUCCUCCCUAAAACUGAUCCCCUCCUUGCUUGGAGGCUGAAGUUGCCUUCAUAAAACUAAUGACAGGCCUCAAGAUGAGGAUUAUGGGAAAGGUCUGAAUUCUGCUAAAAUGUAGACAUAGUUUCUACAAUCCCUUACUGCUCAGGAGUAAUGUGGCCAGAGGUUACAUUUAUAACUUCGCCAAUUGCUUGUAUAGGUAGCAAUGCUAGUAUAGAACCUAAGAUUGGUCUUUUAAGAUGUAUUUCCGACCUGCGCUUGUGACUCAUAACUGGUCUUGCAACCCCUACCUAGAGGCUGAUUCAGUGCAUGAGGACUGUUUUCCACACCCCUAUGAUCGCAUCCUCAACCAAUCAGUAGCACCCAUUUCCUAGUCCCCUGCCCACCAAAUUAUCCUUGAAAAAUCCUAACCUCUGAUCCUUCAGGGAGACUGAUUUGAGUAAUAACUCUGUCUCUCAUGUGGUUGGCCCCAUGUUAAUUAAACUCUUUCUUUACUGCAAUAUUAUGGUCUCAGUGAACUGGUUUUGUCUGUGCAGCAGGCUGAAGGAAUUCACUGAGCAAGCAGUGUGAUUAUAGAGACAAACCCAGGCCUGACAGAAAAGAAUACAGAUGACAUAGCACCCUGGAACUGAAUGUGAAUAAAAUAGCAGGAUUUGACUUCAGAUUUUCUCCUUUUUGUGAGUGUGUUUUGAGUUGCAUGUGCAAUGAUUGCUUAGUAUUGGCAGAAAAAAGUUUUGGAGAAAAAUUUGGAAUUGUAUGUAUUUUAGGGUGUGUGUCUAUGUGUGUUGGGCAGUCAGGAAGUAGAAAAUUAUAGCUCUUCUUGUCAUAUACCUGCCCAUCUUCUCACAUUUUUCCAACAUAAAUAUAAGAGAGGACACAUGUCGGUGACCAAAUUACAACACAAUUGAAUUCCCAACUUUCUAGGGUAUGUUCUAUCAAAGUCAGGGCGUUGACUGACAGGAAAUGGGAUCCUGAAACUUGAAAUGGCUACAUACCAGUGAAGUUGGAGGCAUUAAAUUCUGAUCGUCCUCUUUGCUAGAAGAAGCAGCCCAUCCACUUCUAUCUGAAGAUGUUGGCCUUCCUUUUCCUAAAACAUUUAAAAUGGCUUCCCUUGGGGUAUUUUUUCUUGCAAGGUCUUGCUGAUUCUCUUUGGGGCUUAUCUCUGCCUUCCUCCACUCUUUGUUUCUAGACCUAUAAAUAGACUCAACUUCAACAGGCCCCAAAGAGUAAGGUACAAAGGAUAACCUAUUAAAAGGUCAUUGCACAUCAAAAGAAAACAAAACUGCAUGUUGUUUGCAAUUUAUACACAUAGAAAUUUGAGGAGUACAUAUAGGACUGGAUAUUAAGAAUGUAGGAUUAUAGUGAUGGAAAUAUAAACUUGAAUCAGGCCAAAAUUAUUGAUGCAGGCCUACUAAGCAGAAAUUCUAAAGUUUUAGUUAGUUGACAGAAACAUGGAUCCAACAGUGGCAUGUAUUAAAUGAAGAUGAAAUGUCAAAACUGCUUCAAUGUACUAUACUGAAAUCUGUCCAAAGGCUUAGGAAUCUUAAAAUGGUAGAGAACAUUUAUCAUAUAAAACCUUCUCGCUCACCCUGGGGGGGUUCCAUAGGGCACAAUACACUUUCACCAUAACUACAAGGGAAAUAUUUGUGAGGGAAGACCCAGCAUCCUUGAAGAAGUCUGUGGAUUUGGUUCUCAGUAGGUCAGAAAUUAUGAGAAAAAUUUUGCCAUCAAUCUAGAUCCCUAAAUAUAAUGGGCAUAAUAGAAAUCCAUGGAAGUAAGGCCCAGGUGUUGUCACUUAAUUGCCAAAGAAAAGAUGGGUGUGAUUACCAUAAUAGAUACUGGAACCAAAGCAGCAAUCAGAAUAGCCUGACUCCCAGAGACCUGUGGCAUUGGCUAGUUAAGCAUGGUGUUCCUAAGAGUCAAGUGAGCAGACAGUACAGUAAAUUAUUAUUUCAUCGGAACAAGUGGAAGACUUUUAGGUCAAGAGAACAAAUGUCUAAAUUGAAUCAUGAAAACAGUCACAUCCUCUCAAUCAAUUCCCAGACUUGAGCCAGUUUACAAACCCAGAACUUUUUAAAUGAAAGGAAGGCUGGGUUUCCUUGAUGAAGGAUCCUGUUACACUGCCAAAAUUGUAUUUAUCUUUUUCCUGGUCUUAACUAAAAGGACGUAUGGUCAUUUAUCAGGGUGACUGUGCACUGAAGAAAUGUACAUAAUCAAACUUUUCCUUGAUUACUAGGCACUGGCUUGGAAAUGGCUCUACUUCUUGGCAAUCCAAAAUGUCAAUGAGGAUCAGACACAGUAAGAAAAUGGAAGAUCCUAAGAAUGUAAAGUGACCAAUGCAUUUUUAGCUCAGGUCCAUCUCAGAGUUAGUUCAGGAAGUCCCUAAACUUAGGCUGUGGUUUUUUCCCCAGAUUCAGAAUGCAAAUUGGAAUAGACAUUCUCGUCAAUUUGCGGGAUCCUCACAAUGGCUCCAAGGCCUGUGAACUGAGAAACAUUAAAGUGGGAAACAGCAAAUGAAAGUCACUAUAACUGCCUUAACCUACAAAAAUGAUAAACCAAAGCAGUAACACGUACCUGAAAGUAUUACAGAAAUUAAUGCUACAAUCAACAACUUCAAAGGUGCAGCAGUGGUGAUUCCCACACAUUCCCAUUCAACUCAACUAGAUGGUCUGUUUAGAAAACUGUAAAGGACAGAGAAUUAUUCUAAAAUUAAUCUCAAAUUGCAGCUUUUUCAUGUGUUUUGGUUGCUUGAAAAAAUUAACAUAUUCUGUAGUACCUAGUAUAUGAGUAUUGAUCUGGCAAGUGCCUUUUCUUCAUAUUUUUUAAUAAAGAAUAUGGAAAGCAAUUUGUUUUCAACUAACAAGGCUAACAAUUUACCUUUUUUGUUUUUUUCUCAAAGUUAUAUCAAUUUUCCAGCCUUAUGUAAUAAUUUUGUCCAAAACGAACUUGAUCACCCUUUUCUUCCACAAUAUGUCAUACUGGUCUGUUGCACUGAUGAUAUUAUGCAGUUUACACAUGGUGAGCAGAAAGCAGCAGUGACUGUAUAUAUAUUUGCAAAAUAUUUGUGUCUCCAAGGUUAGGAGAUAACUCUUACUAAAAAUUCAGUGUCUUUCAACUUUGGUGACAUUUCUAGUGUUCCUGUGGUUUGGUUGGUGUGGAAAAUGUCCAGAUAUCUCUCCUAACACGAAGGAUAAGUUAUCUGGCCCCUCCUACCACAGAAAAGAAGAAUGAUGCCUAGCAGACCUAUUGGUAUUCUGCAGGCAACAUAUUCAGCAUUUGGCUAUGCUACUCUAGCUCACUCAAUGAGUGACAUGACAGGAUGUUACUCUUGAGUGGGGCUCAGAAUAAGAGAAAGGUCUGCAAAAGUCCAGGGUUCCCUUAAAGUUGUGCUGCCACUUGGUGAAGGGGUGGGUUGCCCCUCCACACCUGUGGGUGUUUCUCGUUAGGUGGAAUGAGAGACUUGGAAAAGAAAAAGACACAGAGACAAAGUAUAGAGAAAGAAAUAAGGGGACCCAGGGAACCAGCGUUCAGCAUAUGGAGGAUCCCGCCAGCUUCUGAGUUCCCUUAGUAUUUAUUGAUCAUUCUUGGGUGUUUCUCUGAGAGGGGGAUGUGUCAGGGUCACAAGACAAUAGUGGGGAGAGGGUCAGCAGACAAACACGUGAACAAAGGUCUUUGCAUCAUAGACUAGGUAAAGAAUCAAGUGCUGUGCUUUUAGAUAUGCAUACACAUAAACAUCUCAACGCUUUACAAAGCAGUAUUGCUGCCCGCAGGUCCCACCUCCAGCCCUAAGGCAGUUUUUCCCUAUCUCAGUAAAUGGAACGUACAAUCGGGUUUUAUACCGAGACAUUCCAUUGCCCAGGGACGGGCAGGAGACAGAUGCCUUCCUCUUGUCUCAACUGCAAGAGGCAUGCCUUCCUCUUAUACUAAUCCUCCUCAGCACAGACCCUUUACGGGUGUCGGGCUGGGGGACGGUCAGGUCUUUCCCUUCCCACGAGGCCAUAUUUCAGACUAUCACAUGGGGAGAAACCUUGGACAAUACCUGGCUUUCCUAGGCAGAGGUCCCUGCGGCCUUCCGCAGUGUUUGUGUCCCUGGGUACUUGAGAUUAGGGAGAGGUGAUGACUCUUAAGGAGCAUGCUGCCUUCAAGCAUCUGUUUAACAAAGCACAUCUUGCACAACCCUUAAUCCAUUUAACCCUGAGUUUGACACAGCACAUGUUUCAGAGAGCACGGGGUUGGGGGUAAGGUCAUAGAUUAACAGAAUCUCAAGGCAGAAGAAUUUUUCUUAGUACAGAAGAAAAUGGAGUCCCCUAUGUCUACUUCUUUCUACACAGACACAGUAACAAUCUGAUCUCUCUUGCUUUUCCCCACAACUUGGGUCAUAUGAUCCAACAGAUCCAAUGCUUUUGAAGUAUCAGUGACAGAUGGGGAUUCUGUUUAGAGACUUUGGUAGGCCCUUUUAUGGGAAUCACAGGGCUUAUCCUUAGGAUUUUAGAAGAUGACUUGUCAUUUUCUGCCAAAAAUUACUCCCCUUCUCCUAGUUACUGAAACUCAGCAGAGACUGAAUGUUUUAUCAUGAACCACCAAGUUACCGUGCAGCCUGAGUUGCCCAUGAUGAUGCACGUAUUGUCUAAUCUACUAAUAAAUGCAAGCAUACAAGGCACUACUUUUGUAGAUUAUACAUGAUUGGGCUCAAAUUUGUCAUGAAUACGUAAGUAAGUAAUGUAAAGUGGCAUAAAUGAUCAUGGCCACUACUCCUACUACCUUCUCUUUUCUCUCUUAGACCAUACUUAGGGCCUCAUGGGGAGUUCUUUAUGACCAGUUGACUGAGAAAAUGAAAACUAAAGCCCAAUUCAUGGAUGGUUCUGCAUGACAUACAGGCACCAUGGAAGCUUGUGUGGACAGUUGUAGCAUAACAGAUCUUUUCUGGUACAUUCCUGAAGGAUAGUGGUGAAAAAAACUUCUCCCAGUGGCAGAAUUUCAAGCAAUACACCUGUUUUUCACUUUCAUCUAUGAGGAGAAAUCAAGAGAAGUAAGAAUGUAAUAUGAUUUAUAAUAUGAAUGGUUUGGUGGAAUGGUCAGGGAUUUGAGGGAAUACAAUUGGACGUUGGUGACAAUGAGAUCUAGGAAAAAUGUAUAUGGGUAGGCCUCCCUGAAUAGGCAAAGAGUUUGAAGAUAGCUCUGACCCAUGUUAAUGAUCACUAAAGGCAACCUCAGCAGAAAAUUAUCUUAUUAAUCAAGUCAAUAAAAUGAACUGCCAUUUCCCCAGUCAGCCUCUUUCUCUAGCCACUCUCCUCUCAUCGCCCAGUGGUCCCAUGAAGGAAGUGACUUUGGUGGCAGGGAUAGAGGUUACACAUGGGGUCAACAACAUGGACUCCUACUCACUAAGGCUGACUUUGCUACAGCCACUGCUUGUGUUCAUUCUGCUAUCAGCAGAGAUCAACACUGAGUUCUUAACAUGACACUAUUCAUUGGAUUGGUGUGCCUUGUGGCAUAUUGAUUACAUUAGAUCAUUUCCACCAUGGAAAGGGCAGUUCUUUGUUCUUAGUGGAAUACCCAUUCUUGUUAUUAGUUUACUUUCAAAUGCAAUGUCUCAGCCAAUAUAACCACCCAUGGAUUAACAAAAUGCAUUAUCCAUUGUUGUGGUAUUUGAAAUCACAUUGCUUCUGAUCACGAAAUUCACCUUAUAACAAAUGAAGUGCAGCAAUGUGUCACAAAUGGUGCUUUUGCCAUUUUCUCCAAUAUCCUGAAAGCAGUUGACUUGAUAGAAAAGUGAAAUAGCCUUUUGAAAACUCAGUUAUAGCACCAGCUAAGUGGCUGCGCAUUGCAGGGCUGGGUAAUGUCUUCCAUGACAUUGUAUAAUCUUUACAUCAGCGUUCAGUAUACAGUGCUGUUUUCCACAUAGCAAGAAAUUGUGAGUCCAGGAAUCAAAGGGUGGAAAUGGGAGUGUUUGCUUACGCUAGGAGACACAACAGUGAUUCCGCUGAAUUGGAAGUUAAGACAGCUGUCUGGCUGCUUUGGGCUCCUUAUGCAUUUGAAUGAACAGUCAAGGAAGAGUGUUACUAUACUGGCUGGGGUGACUGAUUGUAAUUAACAAAGAGUUAUUGGGCUGCAAUGGAGGCACAAUGGAAGUAAGCAAGAGUAUGUCUGGAAUAUAGGGAAUCCCGUAGGACAUCUCUUUGUACUAUCAUGUUCUGUGAUUAAAAUAAAUGGAAAACUCCAAUAGCCCAAUUUAUACAGGACAGCUAAUAGCCCAGACACCUCAGGAAUGAAGGUUUGGGUCACCCCUCCAGGCAAAGAAUCACAAGCAGCUUAGGUACUUGAUGAGUGCAAAGGGAAUAGAGAAUGCAUGGUGGAUACUUGCUCUUAAUUGAAGUUUCAUUUCUUAUAUUUUAAAAUUCACUUCUAAAAUAAAAAAAAACUUCAUUCUAAUAAAUCAAGUAAUUAUCUGAAAAUCAUAUGACUAGUAAGUGGCAGAUUCUGAAAUGUAAUCCAUGAUUCACAGCAUGUUAAAAAAAAGUGGUGAUUAAGUACAAAAAUUUGUUAAAAGAAAAAUAAAAUGCAUUAGUUUAUAGUGUUAGCUUAACAUUAGCAAUUAGAACUGGCCAGUUAGAAAGUGGAUGCAAAAAGUUUGCAGAAGCUACUAAUGGUAGUGUAAUUCCCCCUGUGUCUUGUUAAAUAAUCAAACCAUGGACUGCUACGAUAGCUGAAUUUAAGUGUGAGGACAAACACCAAAUUAAAGAAGUCCCCUGCAGAGAGCAGAGGCAGACACCUAAAUUUCACACAUUGCUGAAGAUAUAAAAAAUUCAUAGCAAAGAAUUUUUAGAAGAGAAAUAGCAAAUCACUAGGGAUUGAAGCUUCCAAACUUCUAAAAGCCCAAACAGCUUGCUGCCUUCUAUCUUGUAGCAAGUUCCAGAGCCUCCAGGGCUUAUUACACUUCCAUGAUUCCAUGAAUAUUGUCUUAUAGGUUAAUGACUUUAAGAAUAAGAAAUCCUGAGCUAUAUUUCUCAAAGGCAAAUGUAUAUGAUGAUUAGCAAGGAGGGGUUUUCAUAUAUUUUAAACUAUUCAUGGAGAAAAAUAAGUUGGAGAAUAUUUAUAGGUUCAUCAGGAAAAUAAUGAUCUGAAUUCAUGCUGGCAGUAUUUUUCUUUUUUUAUUAUUUUAUUUUUUUAAGUUCUGGGGUACAUGUGCAGGAUGUGCAAAUUUGUUACAUAGGUAAACAUGUGCCACGGUGGUUUGCGGCACCUAUCAACCCAUCACCUAGGUAUUAAGUCUAGCAUGCAUUAGCUCUUUUCCCUAAUGCUUUCCCCACCUCCUACCCGCCCCACACCUGACAGGCCCUAGUGUGUAUUGUUCCCCACCAUGUGUCCAUGUGUUCUCACUGUUCAGCUCCUACUUAUAAGUGAGAAUAUGUAGUAUUUGGUUUUCUGUUCCUGCAUUAGUUUGCUGAGGAUAAUGGCUUCCACCUUCAUCCAUGUCCCUACAAAGGACAUGAUCUCAUUACUAUUUAUGGCUGCAUAGUAUCCCAUGGUGUAUAUGUACAUUUUCUUUAUCCAGUCUGUUAUUGAUGGGCAUUUGCGUUGAUUCCAUGUCUUUGCUAUUGUCAAUAGUGCUGCAAUAAACAUAAGUGUUCCUGUAUCUUUAUAAGAGAAUGAUUUAUAUUCCUUUGGGCACAUACCCAGUAAUGGCAUUACUGGGUUAAAUGGUAUUUCCGGUUCUACAUCUUUGAGGAAUCACCACACUGUCUUCCACAGUUGGUUGAACUAAUUUACAUUCUCACCAACAGUGUAAAAAGUGUAGUAUUUUUCUUAUAUUAAGUAAUAUCCACCUCCACAACCUAAGAACCAAACUACUUCCCUGACCUAGCAAAACCAGCUAAAUUCAGGCUAUGGUUAUAUUAGCAACAUUUCCUGGUCAGUGGGUCUCCAUGUAACUUCAGAAAAUGCAGAAGCCUAGAAUUAUGAAAAUAGGUACUCAUAUAUCCCUGCCAGUAAUCUGAAUCACCUGAAUACAACUCUUUCUUUAUUUGGGAAGUAAACAUUUUCUUACUCUGUGUCUCGGUGCUUUACCCAUGAAACAAAAUCCAUUAUCCACAGUGUCCACUUAAUAAGAAUGUUAUCGUUAUAACUUUAAAAAGAUCUAUUUCCCCCAAUGAUAUGCUACUGAAAAAGAAUUACAAAUGCAUUAAUUUUAAAAGUUAUUAAGCUCUAAGAGUCAUGCCUUCAAAGAUUUUAAAUGUGUAAACCCCUUUACAUAUUGCAAUGUUUUUAUAAAGUGAGUGCAAUCACAUUCCCAUGAAAUGUCAAACUUUUCCAAGACUUUGUAGCUGAUAAGAGACAAAACCAGGAUUCCAAACUGGUAUAGUCUGACUUUAUAGGUUUUGCUUUUUUAGCCUUAUGCUAUUGAUAAUUGACAUUCAAUCAAAAGUCAAUAAUAUUGACAUAAUAUAAUUGUGUAAAUAUUUUAUUCAAAAAUUAAAACUAGUAAUUCUAUUUAGUAAACACAAAUGGACAUUCACAAUGAAGGCUUUGUACAUUAUUGAAUAGUUAUGUGCCAUUGGGACAAAUCCCAAAAAUGACAUCUCAACUCCUAGGUUCUUGACAAUGACUUAAAUACCAAUAUUACUUUUUAGCUUGUUUGGAUUUGAUAAAAUAGAGAAUGUUAUUUACCACCCACAAUGGUACUGAUAAGACUGAUGGUGAAUGAACCAAUGAAGGAUCAUUUGGUUUCAAUUGAUAAAACUUACUUAGACUGAUUUAAAUAAUAAUCACAUUUCAUUCUGGAAAACACAAGGACGUACAUUCUCCAGGUUUAAAAUAGAAAGUAAACCCAGCAUCCAAGUUAUAGAGUACUUUUGUGUCAUUUUCAAAACCUGGCUUCUUAGCUCUGAUUUUUUUUUGUAUCUUUCAAUUUCAUGUUUAUUUUCCCAUGGAAUGAACUCUUUCUACUUUGUCAUGCACAUGGUAGAAGAUAUCUGUUUCAGUUAUAUUGUCUAAAUGUCUCUGAUCCAAGGAAUCAGCAGAGACCAACCUAAAUUCCAAAUUACCAAGAAAGGGGUACUUUUCUUGAGUCAAUGUCGACCUCUUGUCUCGUCAGCUAUGGUCAGGUUAAGUGGAGUCAAAUAGUAAAAAUAUGGCCUUCUGCAAUCACCUAUAGGAACUAGGAGAAAGCGUGUUUUAACCUGGAAAAUAUUUAGAUGUUAUUUAUUUAUUUCAAAGUACAUUCUGAAGAGCAGCUUUCAGAGGAAUUUUGUAACAGAAAUUGCUGAAAAUAAUAGAUGCACUCAGGAUGCUGUUUAAACUAAAAUACUACCUUGUUCAGGAUAUACCACAGAAAAUGGGGUAUGUAGUGAUACUCACUUAAAGACCUAAAUAAUUUAAAAGUAUUCCAGAAAUAUUUACUUACGCCGCUAUAUUUUCUCCCCUUGAAUAAAGCCAAAAGCCUAUGGAAUUAAUCUAAGUGAAUAUUUAAGGGACAAUUUCAUUCAUUUUAUCCUUGUUAUAUUUUAAUGUAGAUUGUCUCACUCUCAACCAAAAAUAACUGAGUCAAAUGAUUUCAGGAACCAAGAACAGAGAAUAAAUAAUUGAAUCAGCAUGCUGUUAACAUAACUGGGAGGGGCAAAUGUUGAAUGAUUCAAUUUGGGACGUCAUUCAGACUAAGAAAAGCAUAUAGAUAGACCAGAUUAAACCCUGCCUUCCCCAGGUUUACUGUCCUCAUUCUGAAGAGUGAUGUUCAAGCUAUAUUUCUGAUUAAGUCCAUUUAGAAAAUGUUUUAUCAAUAUAGUCAAUUAAAUAAGAGAGAGACGCAAAGCUGUAUAAAAAGCUCUAUCUUUCAAUUUCAUGUUUAUUUUCCCAUGAAACGAACUUUUUCUGCUUUGUCAUGCACAUGGUAGAAGAUAUCUGUUUCACUUAUAUUGACUAAAUGUCCCUGAUACAAGGAAUCAACAGAUCCAUAAAUAGCAAAUGUUGGUAUCUGAUGUGUCACAGGUUUCCAUCAAACAUUACUGCAUUUUCCUUUCCAUGCAAAGGCAAGAAAUCCACAUGCAUGCUUGUUUUUCUUUUUCUGAGUCAUACAAGCACAUAUAAAGCAACAGAUACUGGGAAAAUAUUAGAUCACAAGAAUAGAACUGCAUAUGGUAAAUAUUAGAAACAAUACAACGAAUGCCAUCUUAAAAUUCUCUAUUUGUUUCAAUUUAAUAAAAUGGAAUUAGGAAGAGGAAUACAGCAGGUUUCACAUGCAUUUUUUUAAACUGAAGCAUGUAUGACUGAAUGUUAGAAAUUGAGAGAGAUGAGUAGUGGCACACAGUGUUGUUUAUGCUUUUAUUUUUCUGGCAACUGAAAUAUUUAAUAAAUUAUUUAAACAUUUAAAAAUCAUUAAAUGAACACAACAUUUAUAGCAGGCUGACUUAAGAAUACUAUCUUUAUGUCAUAUUUAUCUAUAUAUUUUCCACUUUACUUUUGCCUCAUAGUCUUUAUUUUAAAAUUUGUAUUUAUUUUUAAUUUGUAAAAUAUUUUAAUUGACAAAUAACUGUAUAUAUUCAUGGUGUACAUAGUAAUGUUUCAAUAUAUAUAAUGGGUGAUCAGAUCAGGAUGUUUAGCAUAUUGAUAAUCUCAAACACUUAUCAUUUCUUUGUGCUGGGAAUAUUCCAUAACCUCCUUCUAGCUAUUUGAAACUAUGAAGUGCAUAACUGUUAACUAUAGUCAUCCUAUAGUGCUAUAGAACACUCAAAAUUAUUUCUCCAAUCUAGAUGUAAUUUUGUAUCUUUUAACAAAUCUCUCCCUAUCCUCACCUUUCCCCUACCAUCCUCAGCCUCUGUUCUACUUUUUACAUCUAGGAGAUCAACAUUUUUAGCUUCUGCAUAUGAGUGAGAACAUGUAAGAUCUUUACCUUUCUAUUCAUGGCUUAUUUCACUAACAUGUUCCCCAGUUCCAUCCACUUGCCACAAAUGACAGGAUCCCAUUCUUUUUUAUGGCUGAAUAGUACUCCACUGUGUAUAUAUGCCACGUUUUCUGUAUCCAUUCAUCUGUUGUUGGACACAUAGGUUGAUUCUAUAUCUUGGCUAUUGUGGAUAGUGCUGCAGUAAACAUGAGGAGGGUACAGAUGUCUCUUCAACAUAAUGAUUUCCUUUCCUUUGAAUAAAUUCCCAGUAAUGGGAUUGCUGGAUUAUAUGGUAGUUCUAUUUGUAGUGGUUUUGAGGACACUCCAUACUAUUCUUCAUAGUGGCUGUGCUAGUUUACAUUCUCGCCAAGAGUGUAUGAAUCUCCUUUUCUCUGCAUCUUCACCACCAUUUGUUAAUUUAGGUUGUUUUUUUUUUCUUCUAAUAUUAGCCAUCCUAAAUGGGGAGAGAUGAUACUUCUUGUGGUUUUAAGUUGCAUUUGCCUGUUAAUUAAUGAUGUUGAGCAUUUUUUCAUAUAUUUUUUGGUCACUUGCAGGUCUUCUUUAGAGAAAUAUCUAUUAUGAUCAUUUGCCAUUUUUAAAUCAGAUUUCUUUCUUUCUCUAUUUUUUUUUUUUUUUUUUACUGUUGAGAUGCUUCAGUUUCUUGUAUAUUCUGUAUAUUCUGGAUAUUAAGUCCCUGUUAAAUGAGUGCACAAAAGUUUCCUCACACUCUGUUGAUGAUUGUUUUCUUUUUUGUCCAGAAGCUGUUUUGUCUGAUAUAAUCCCAUUUGUUUAUUGUUGCUUUUGUUUGUGCUUUAAAAAUUUUCCCCAACCUCCUAUCCUAAAGAAUUACCCCUAUUUCUUCUUCUAAUCAAUUUAUUGUUUUGGUUCUUACAUUUAGAUCUUAGAUCCAUUUUGAAUUGAUUUUUGAAUAGGGUAAGAGGUGAGGUUAAACCCUGCCUUCCCCAAGUUUACUGUCCUCAUUCUGAAGAGUGAUGUUCAAGCUAUAUUUCUGAUUAAGUCUAUUUAUAAAAUGUUUUAUCAAUAUGGUCAGUUAAAUAAGAGAGAUAGGCAAAACUGUAUAAAAAGCUCUAUCAUUCAAUUUCAUGUUUCAUGUUUUCCCCCGGUUUUAACAGUACAUAUGAAAUUAUAUAUUUCAUUAUAUAUCCAAACUUCCCAUUACAGAAGUAACUCUGUGUUUUCUCACUUUGAUUCACCAAACUUUUCAAACAAUUAGUGUUGUUGUUGUUGUUGUUUUUUAAUGGACAAGAUCAGGCACAUUGUAUGGAGUGGGCAAAAACAUGAACAGACAUUUCUCAAAAGAAAACAUACAGUUGACCAACAGGUCUAUGAGAAAGUGCUCAACAUCACUAAUUAUCAAGGAAUUACAAAUCAGAUUAUAUAUAUAAUAUAUUUUGUAUAGGGUGAGAGGUAGUUUCAUUUUUCUGCAUAUGGACAUCCGGAUUUCCAGCAUCAUUUAUUGAAGACACUGUCUUUUUCCCAAAGAGAAUUCUUGGUGCUUUUGUCAAAAAUAAGUUGGCGAUAGACAGGUGGAUUAAUUUCUGAGCUCUCUAUUCUGUUCUGUUGGUCUAUGUGUCUGUUUUUAUGCAAGCACUGUGGUGUUCUGGUUACUAAAGCUUUGUGGUGUAUUUAGAGGUAUGGUAGUGUAAUACCUCCAGCUUUUUUCUUUUAGCUUAGGAUUGAAGCUAAGAAAAAAUACGUUAAAACCAAAUAAAUCUCAGCAAACUAAUUCUCUGGCAUUAAUUCUUCUUAAAACUGCUCAUUUGCAUAUUCCUCCCCAAAAAGAUAUGCCCAAAGGACACAAUUGUUUACCAACUUGAUGUGGAUUCCACAUUAUCACUUUUCUCUCUUUCUGCGGAGGUUUUUCAUAUCAAUUAAUAGUUUCACAUGGAAGGGGAAAAAAUUAAAAAUAUUCAUAUUCUAUUAGCAUUCACUGAAUGGUUAGAAUGGUAUUAGUCCGUUCUCACACUUCUAUGAAGAGAUACCUGAGACUGGGUAAUUCAUAAAGAAAAGAGGUUUAAUUGACCCACAGUUCCUCAUGACUGGGGAGGCCUCAGGAAACUUAAAAUCAUGGAGGAAGGCACCUCUUCACAGGGUGACAGGAGAAAGAAUGAGAGAUGAGAGAAGGGGAAAGCCCUUUACAAAACCAUCGUAUCUCAUGAGAACUCACUAUUAUGAGAACAGCACGAGGGUAACUGCCCCCAUGAUUCCAUUAUUUCCCACUGGGUUCUUCCCAUGACACAUGGGGAAUAUGGGAAAUAUAAUUCAAGAUGAGAUUUCGGUGGCGACACAGCCAAACUAUAUCACCAAGGUACUUGAAUAUGGGAAAUACAAUUCAAGAUGAGAUUUUGGUGGAGACACAGCCAAACUAUAUCGCCAAGGUACUAUGUUCAAUGAUUUCCCAUAUAAUUUCAUAUGUCCUAUAAUACUCAAAUAUCAAUCAGUAGUGUUUUUCAUAACAAAUCAGUCACUACUAUUCUUUAGGCUUAUUUUAUUUAUAUAGACUUCAAGACCAAUAUGAAAAAUAAAUUCUUAUUAGAUGCUUUUAGAUCAUAUAGCAGAGACCAGAAAAAAAUCAGAAGAAAUUAUAUAAUCUUAAUUUUUUCCUAAAAUAUGUAUGGGUAGAAGGUUAAAAAAAGGCUGCAAUAUACAAACAAACAGUAGUAGUAGUAGUAUAUAACGUGUUCUCAGAGACUUAAUUUUGCUAAUUUGAAAUACUGUUUGGAAUGAUGAACUAAGAAGACCUCUAAUUAGCAUUCAAGAUGGCCAUUUAAGAAAACUGUGACAUCAAAAAUUCAACCUUACUAGAGAUGAGACCUUUAUAUUAUAAGAAUUCCUAAAGAGCCCUAAGAGAAGUUUUUGCAACCAUCUUUAUACUAUUUAAAUGCAAUUGCUCCAUUUCAUAUUGAGAUGUCAGUUGCCCAACUCAUUAAAUAUAUUGAAAAUUGCUAAUAGGUUGAAAUUUUAAUUAAGGUUUCUCCGCAUUGGAAGAUUAAGAGUUCAUGGAGCGAAAACCCAGAGAAAGCUGUCUGAUCAUGAUAUUUAGCACUAAAUCCCACGUUUAUAACUGGAAUUCAUAAAAAAGGACUGCAUUCCAAAAAAUAAAACUUAACUCAUUAAUAUUAUUACAACUUUUAUAAUCGUUAUUCUUUGAAGUUAUCUAAUUUAGGUAAAUCAUAUGUUGUAUCCAAACUUCCCAUUACAGAAGUAACUCUGUGUUUUCUCACUUUGAUUCACCAAACUUUUCCAACAAUUAGGUUUGUUGUUGUUAUUGUUUUUAAUGGACAAGAUCAGGCACAUUCAGGGUUGUAUGGAGUUGGCAAAAACAUGAACAGACGUUUCUCAAAAGAAGACAUGCAAUUGACCAAUAGGUCUAUGAAAAAGUGCUCAACAUCACUAAUUAUCAAGGAAAUACAAAUCAAAACCAUGAUGAGCUAUCUCACCCCAGUUAGAAUGGCUAUUAUUAAAAAUACAAAAAAAAACCAAUGUUGUCAAGGAUGUGGAGAAAAGGAAUGCAUAUACUGUUGGUAAAAAUGUAAAUUAGCACAGCCACUAUGAAAAGCAAUUUGGAGAUUUUUCAAGAAACAAAAAUGGAUGUACCAUACAAUCCAGAAAUCCCAGUAUUGUGUAUCUACCCAAUAGAAAUCAGUAUAUAAAAAAUAUACCUGUGCUUACAUGUUUAUUGGAGCACUAUUCACAAUAGUCAAGAAUAUGGUUUGGCUCGGUGUCCCCACCACAUCUCGUCAAAUUGAAACCCCCAGUGUUGCAGGUGGGGCCUGGUGGGAGGUGACCCAAUCAUGGGGGUGAAAUUCUCAUGAAUGGGUUAGCGCCAUUCUCUUGGUGCUGUUCUUGUGAUAGUGAGUGAGUUACCCUGAGAUCUAGUUGUUUUAAAGUGGGUUGCACCUCCCUCUUCUCUCUCUUCCUCCUGCUCCUGCCAUGUAAGACAUGGUCUUUCUCUCACUUUGCUUUCUGCUGUAGGUAAAAGCUCCCUGAGGCCUCCCUGGAACCAGCUGCUGCCAUGUUUUCUGUACAGCCUUCAGAACCCUGAGCCAAUUAAACCUUUUUUCUUUAUAAAUUACCCAAUCACACCUAUUUCCUUAUACAGAGUGAGAACUGACUAAUGGAGCCAAGAUUUGAAAUCAACCUAAGUGUCCAUCAAUGGAUGAAUAAAUAAACAAAAUUUGGUAUAUAUGCAAAAUGAAAUACUAUUUGGCCACUAAAAAGAAUGAAGUCAUGUCAUUUGCAGCAACAUGGAUGAAACUGGAGAUCAUGUUGUUAAGUGAAAUAAGCCAGGCACAGAAAGGCAAAUAUCACAUGCUUUCACUUACUUACGAGUUCUAAAAAAGCUGAUGUCAUGGAGGUAGAGAGUGGAAUGAUAGAUAUCAGAGGCCUAAAAAGGUAUAGGGGGUGAGGGAGGGAAUGAAGAUAGGUUGGUUAAUGCAUACAAACCAGCAGAUAAAAGGAAUAAGUUCUAAUGUUCAACAGCAGAGUAGGGUGACUAUAGUUAACAACAAAGUAUUGUAUAUUUUGAGAUAUCUAAACCAAAGAACUUGAAAUGUUCCCAGCAUUUAAAAAUGCUAACUAUUUGAGGUGAUGAAUAUGUAAAUAUUCUGAUUUGUCAUUAUACAUUCUAUGCAUAUAACAAAAUAUCACAUGAAACCCAUAAAUGUGUACAAAUAUCAGGUAUCAAUAAAAAAAUUUUAAAAGGAAAAAUGCAAGAAAAAUUCAAAUUAUUUUAAUAUUUAGGAAAAGUAAUAAUUAUAAAAUAACUUACUAACUACAAAAGAAAUAAUAUUCAUAAUGGGUGCUAAUAUUCAAUGAGAACUCUUCCCAUACAUUUUACUAACGGUUUUGUAUUUUUGACUGAUUCAAUUCUUACAAUAAUCUUAUCAACUAAAUGUAAUUAUUAUUUGCAUUUUACUAACAAGAAAUAUACUUGGCUCACAGCCACUGUCCUCUUCAAUUGUGAAGUUAGAAAUAAAAUCCAGACAUCUGUCUCCCAGAGUUCCACUCUUUCUUUUAUGAUUACAUCUAUUUUUAAGUCCAUUAACAUUAGAAAAUUGAAGCCAAAAAGUAUAAUGUCUGCUUCAUGAUAAUGGCUAAAUCUCUUGGUGGGGGAGGUGUGCUGACAUGAUUUAAAAUGUUUCCUCAUACAGAUUUCUUUAUAGUUGCAAAGAGAAAUAAUAACUGUGCAGUGAAGAACAAUGCCUUGACCAGAUGAUUAAAGUAACAGUAAAAGGGUAGAUAGACAUCAUGUGCUUCAGAAUAUCUUACCCUGAGAAUGACACAAUGACAUGUAUGUGGUAUUUUGCUUGGAAUGCCUACCCUGAAUAUAAUAAUAAUAAAUUAUUAU
rnacentral:lncRNA from 1 species